CCUACGGGUGGCAGCAGUGGGGGAUAUUGCACAAUGGGGGCAACCCUGAUGCAGCGACGCCGCGUGGGUGAAGAAGUAUUUCGGUAUGUAAAGCCCUAUCAGCAGGGAAGAAAGAAGACGGUACCUGACUAAGAAGCCCCGGCUAACUACGUGCCAGCAGCCGCGGUCAUACGUAGGGGCCGCGCGUUAUCCGGGUUCACUGGGUGUAAAGGGAGCGUAGACGGCCGUGGAAGGCAGGAGUGAAAGCCUGGGGCCCAACCCCGGGACUGCAAUUGAAACUGUGCGGCUAGAGUGCGGGAGGGGCAGGCGGAAUUCGUGGUGUAGCGGUGAAAUGCGUAGAUAUCAGGAGGAACACCGGCGGCGAAGGCGGCCUGCUGGACCGCGACUGACGUUGAGGCUCGAAAGCGUGGGGAGCGAACAGGAUUAGAUACCCUUGUAGUC
rnacentral:rRNA from 1 species